rnacentral:rRNA from 1 species
AGUGAACGCUGGCGGUAGGCCUAACACAUGCAAGUCGAACGGCAGCACAGUAAGAGCUUGCUCUUACGGGUGGCGAGUGGCGGACGGGUGAGGAAUACAUCGGAAUCUACUUUUUCGUGGGGGAUAACGUAGGGAAACUUACGCUAAUACCGCAUACGACCUACGGGUGAAAGCAGGGGAUCUUCGGACCUUGCGCGAUUGAAUGAGCCGAUGUCGGAUUAGCUAGUUGGCGGGGUAAAGGCCCACCAAGGCGACGAUCCGUAGCUGGUCUGAGAGGAUGAUCAGCCACACUGGAACUGAGACACGGUCCAGACUCCUGCGGGAGGCAGCAGUGGGGAAUAUUGGACAAUGGGCGCAAGCCUGAUCCAGUCAUACCGAGUGGGUGAAGAAGGCCUUCGGGUUGUAAAGCCCUUUUGUUGGGAAAGAAAAGCAGCAGGUUAAUACCCCGCUGUUCUGACGGUACCCAAAGAAUAAGCACCGGCUAACUUCGUG